GCGCGACUUUCCAUACAAUAUUUCUCUCCCAAAAUCUGAGAUUAUAAAAUAAUCCUAGACAAUAACGAUACUUUUCGACAUACAACCCUGUGUUUUCUGCGUUAUCGAUAAAUAUUACUACGAAUAUAAGGAGAAACAGCAAAAUAAAAUGAACGCCGCCAAAGAAAACAACAAUCGCAUUGGUAUAGAGAGGCGGUCGAGUUUUUUUGGAGUUGUGGGAAGAGAAGCUGCCGCAACUACGAGACUGCAAAAGAAAUACGCAUGAAUAUCCAGACAUGGCCGUGCAAAUGGCGACAAAAGGCUUUGUGUUCUAGUCAAGGUGAUAAACGAAUUAUUUUUAUUUUAAGUUUACAGAAUACGAA